GUGUCAAAUAGUCUGCCUAUCUGAAUGUGGUUCUUCAGAACUUUUGAAAAAUUUGGCAAUAGUGAUGCCAUGUUGUGAGCCUGAAGAACAACUAAAGUCUUUUAGGUCCCUGAAAAUGGCUACAAUA